UAGGGAAUCUUCCGCAAUGGGCGAAAGCUUGACGGAGCAACGCCGCGUGAGUGAUGAAGGUCUUCGGAUCGUAAAACUCUGUUAUUAGGGAAGAACAAAUGUGUAAGUAACUAUGCACGUCUUGACGGUACCUAAUCAGAAAGCCACGGCUAACUACGUGCCAGCAGCCGCGGUAAUACGUAGGUGGCAAGCGUUAUCCGGAAUUAUUGGGCGUAAAGCGCGCGUAGGCGGUUUUUUAAGUCUGAUGUGAAAGCCCACGGCUCAACCGUGGAGGGUCAUUGGAAACUGGAAAACUUGAGUGCAGAAGAGGAAAGUGGAAUUCCAGGUGUAGCGGUGAAAUGCACAGAGAUAUGGAGGAACACCAGUGGCGAAGGCGACUUUCUGGUCUGUAACUGACGCUGAUGUGCGAAAGCGUGGGGAUCAAACAGG
rnacentral:rRNA from 1 species